AGGACUAAUUGUUCCAUUUGGAAGAGGAACACGCUGGGUUCUUAAAAAUAGAUUUGACAUCAUGAAGAAAACCUGAGUUUUUGGUAUGGUUAUCCCCAGUCAGCAAAGAUACUCUGUGAUCCCAGCAGUCAUCAGAAGGUAGGUUCAUAAAUAUCAUUCUCUCAUGAGCUAUUGUGGGCAAUAGGCACUUGAUAUCAUUUAACACCAUCUCUAAGGUCAAUAUAGUUAGUUUUUGCUAUUUUAGUCCCCUCCUUGUGUCUGAUAAUAUCAGCUAAUUAGCAUUCUCC
rnacentral:lncRNA from 1 species